CCUCCUGAGUAGCUGGGAUUACAGGCGCCCUCCACCACGCCCGGCGAAUUUUUGUAUCUUUAGUAGAGACAGGGUUUCACCACGUUGGCCAGGUUGGUCUUGAACUCCUGACCUCAUGAUCCGCCUGCCUCAGCCUCCCAAAGUGUUGAGAUUACAGGUGUGAGCCACCGCACCUGGCCUCUGAGAAAUAUUUAGAUUGUACGCCUCAAAUGGGCAGGGACUGUGUCUUACACUUUUGUAUUUAUGCUACAGCUUACCUAAUACAGUGCCAGGCCUCGUUAAACACUUAUUGAUGGCUCAGACAAUAAAGAACUUGCUUUGGAAGGAGGAGAGGAUAGUCAUGUGCUUCUGAAUGUACUGAACUUCUUGAAAUCUCUUUCCCCAUCAAUUUUAGCAGAGUUUCUAUUGAAACUCCUAGGGUGUGUUUAUGGAAGACAAACUGAGAUGUGCUGUCCCAGCCUUAGGCCCUGGCAGUACGCCUUUGCCUUUUCACGGCACACCCACUACAGCCUUUCCCACACUGUGACACUGGAGCUGGUGAGUCAGAGUUGAAGAUUAUUCUCUCUUCUAAAGAAAAUAGAAGAAUAUUAGGAGAAAAUACACUUUAAAAUGUUCACUCUUUUAUUCACAUUACAUCAUCUGUCUUGAAUAAUGG
rnacentral:sRNA from 1 species